rnacentral:rRNA from 1 species
CAGAGUAGUAUUAGUUAUGUUCUUGAAACUUAAAAAAUUUGGCGGUAUUUUAGCCUAUCCAGAGGAACCUGUUCUAUAAUCGAUAUUCCACGAUGGACCUUUCUUAUUCUUGUCAUCAGCUUAUAUACCGUCGUUAGCAGAAUAUUUUAAAAGAAUAAUAAUUUUCAAUAGGUCUUAUUAUAAUUUAUAUCAGAUCAAGGUGUAGCUUAUGAAUAAGUAGUAAUGGGUUACAAUAAAAUUAUUUAAAUGGAGAUUGACAUGAAAACUCAAUUGAAAGUGGAUUUGGUAGUAAAUUUAUAUAGAUUAAUAAGUUGACUUUAGCUCUAAAAUAUGCACACAUCGCCCGUCGCUCUUAUUACUAAGAUAAGAUAAGUCGUAACAUAGUAGAAGUACCGGAAGGUGUUUCUAGAAUGACAAUUUAAAGCUUAAUAGGAAGCAAUUCAUUUACAUUGAAAGGAUUUAUGUGCAAAUCAUUAUAAAUUGGUUAAAUUUUAUUUACUGAUUAGAUUUGUUGGGACUUUAUUUUAUUAAAAAUAAUUAUAUGUUUUAGUGUUUUAGUAUCUCUUAGAAAAAAUUAUAUAAGUUAUAGUAAAUAGUAUUGUAAAAGAAUAUUGAAAUAUUUGAAAAA